UAACUGAAGAGUUUGAUCAUGGCUCAGAUUGAACGCUGGCGGCAGGCUUAACACAUGCAAGUCGAGCGGGGGAGAUUGCUUCGGUAAUUGACCUAGCGGCGGACGGGUGAGUAAUACUUAGGAAUCUGCCUAUUAAUGGGGGACAACAUCUCGAAAGGGAUGCUAAUACCGCAUACGCCCUACGGGGGAAAGCAGGGGAUCACUUGUGACCUUGCGUUAAUAGAUGAGCCUAAGUCGGAUUAGCUAGUUGGUGGGGUAAAGGCCUACCAAGGCGACGAUCUGUAGCGGGUCUGAGAGGAUGAUCCGCCACACUGGGACUGAGACACGGCCCAGACUCCUACGGGAGGCAGCAGUGGGGAAUAUUGGACAAUGGGGGAAACCCUGAUCCAGCCAUGCCGCGUGUGUGAAGAAGGUCUUCGGAUUGUAAAGCACUUUAAGUUGGGAGGAAGGGCAGUUACCUAAUACGUGAUUGUUUUGACGUUACCGACAGAAUAAGC
rnacentral:ncRNA from 1 species